rnacentral:misc_RNA from 1 species
AAACUUGAAGCUGAAAACGGUCUGUUUUCCGUCUCUUCAAGUGGACCUGAACUGUACUCCAUUGUGAUGAAAGACGAGGCUUGCCCAUGAGUUAUUCGAGGGGAUAUCCCACCAGCAUUCCACCAACUACCAUAGGAAGGGGCAAGAUCAACUUUAAAAUCAGAAUCCGGAGCAGAAGACUCCUUUUGACUACAGUUGUCUC